AAGGAAGGAAAAGAACUAUAGCUUUUUUUGGAGGGGGAAUGGGAGGCCUUAGCAUCUGGAGAGAUUACUGUAGGCUUCAUAUAGGAGAUGGUACUUGAGCUGGGCUUUGAAAGCAGCUAGAGAUUCUUAGAGACAAAAGUGGGAGGACAUUACAAGAGUGGAGACAGCCUAGGCAAGAGCAAAGAGAUGGGCAUAUGAGAUUUCUUGCUAUAAAGCAAGAAAGCCAGUUUGGCUGGGAGAGGUAGGUGGCUCAGGGGGUUGAGAGUCAGAUCUGGAGAAAGGAGGUCCUGGGUUCAAAUCUAGUCUCAGAUACUUCCUAACUAUGUGACCCUGGGCAAGUCAUUUAACUCCCAUUGCCUAGGAAUACUUACACAUCUGGAAUGUGGACCUACAGCCUGCUUGUGUCCUUCCCACAACCUUCUUCUAAGGUUAAACUUUGACGCUUCAGCAUUGCUCCCAGCCUCUAUCUCCAAAAAUAAUUUAUUUGCAGCUCCUGUGACCACAGGCUGCCUCCCCUUCUCCUCACUCUUGUCUUCCACUCUUUAAUCUUACCAUUCCUCUUACAGAAAUACUGCACCACCACUACAGGAAACUGCAGACUAGUCAUCUUUUUCUCCCCUUGAUGUCUAGGUAAUAAGAAUAAGGCCUCAGGGUGAGGCCAGGGGGCUGAUGACAGGGUGGGAGAAGGCAGGCGGAGAGGGUGCCUAGGCCCAGGGGGAUGUAAGGGUAAGGAAGGCUACAUUUCCCAAGUGAUACCUGUGGCUGUGGCCCAAUUCCUGGACCUCCCUGGUGUAUCAGGAAGCAUCAUGGGCUUGGAGCCUGGCCAGAGGCUUACCCCUACCAGGCAAUCACUGAGGGCCAUUCACAGAGCACAGCCACAGGGAGGGCCCAGUAGCUCAGACACUGCUCAAUCCAGAGUAGAAAUGCAAGGCUCCGGGGGAAAAGUCUCAUUUUCUUCUCCAAGACUUCUUCUGGGCCUUUAGGCCCUGAAGAACCUUUAGUUGUUUUCUCCUCUGAAAUUUUUUCUUUGUUUCAAAAUGUAGCCUACAUGAUACUUUUACUGAACAAACCAAGUUAUACCCAAUACAUUGCUAGGCCCCUAAACUAAUACUAAUAAACUAAUAAUACUAAUAAAUAAAUAAUAAACUAAGAAAAUGAUGUUGGAAAGACAUCUGGAGACUGAGUAGGGGCCUGGCAACUGACUGUUGUCCAAAACCAUCCUGAGUAUCUCAUCAUCAAAACAUUGAUUUUCUGACUGGAGCAACCCAAUGAAAUGAAUAAACAAAUUGUGUUUGUUUUUGUAAAGUUGUGUAUUGUCUGGAACUGCUCAGGAUAGAGAGCUAGGCCUGAAACCAGAGGAACUGGGUUCAAGUCAGACCUCUGGCUGUGUGACCCUGCACAAGUCACUUAACCCCAAUUGCCAAGCCCUUACUGCUCUUCUGCUUGGAAUAAAAAAUUACUAUUGAUUCUAAGAAAAGGGUUUUUCUGUUUAAGUAUUCACUAAGCAAGUACUUUUGAUUUUUAAUGUUGCUUCUAAUAAAACAUUUAAUUUUUUACAAAGCUAAGAGGGUGCCAUAUGAAGAUGAAUUGAAUUUCUGGGUUUAAAGUAGGAGGAAAAGUUGGUGGCUCUGACAAAGAUAAUGGCUCCUUCCUGGGUAAGUAUGGAGAGAGGUGAGCCACAUUAGGACCAAUGGUAGUUUCAUUUACCUGGGGAGUGCUGCAUGAUGACAGGCCUGGGAACUAAGGGACACAGAAUGCAGAAUAUAUACAAGGACUUAUGAAGAAGGAAGUAAGCUGAGAUUCCAAAGGAGAGUAAAUAAUGGGGGGGGGGGUGACUCUGGUCAAGUCACUUAAUCCUGUUUGCCUCAGUUUCCUCAAGUAUAAAAUGAAGAUAAUAAUUACCUAACUUGUAGAGUUGUAAGGAUCAAAUGAGAUCAUAUUACACUUGACAUGCAGUAGGCACAGUAGAAAUUCUUCUUUAUUCUUUAUGUGCCUUUUAAUAAAUUUAUACUACGUUAAUGCCUUGGUUGCUUUCAGAAGUCUAGGUCUAAUGCUUCCGAGGAGAUCUCUGCUGGGGUUGUUGGGGUGUGUAAAUCUUGAAAUCUCUCAGACUUGUGAAUGUUAAAAAUUUCCCCAUCGGGGAAUUCUUAAUUGGAACAAAUUCCCUACUGAGAAACAUUCCCCAUUUUGAUGUGAGAACUCGCCAGGAUCAGAAAUGGGAGGGCCUCUACUCCACCCAUACUUAAGACUGCUUUAGGGGAGAAAACUCCUUGCUAAACAAUGAAAGUACUUGGACCCAUGCUUAUAAUAAGGCAAGGAGUUCUUUGAGCCAGGCCUGUUUUUAGAAUUGAUACAAUGGGAUGCUAGGUACCUAACAGGGUCGGGCAAGUUUUCUCUUGAUGAGAUUAGUUGACUCAGCUGUGUUUUCUCUAGUUCAGACUUACUGAGGAGAUUGGUCGACUUAGCAGGAAUUCAGAUGGGCAGUCCUUUAGAAAGCGUCUACAGUGAUUGGUAGAUGCAGGGACUUAGGGGAGGUGACAUGGGAGAAAAACCCCUAUAUAAGAAAAAGCAGAAUCUGUUGAAGAGAUAGAUCCUUUUGGAGAAAGUCUUUUGGAGGAUCUCUGAUGAGGACCACUUGGGAAGAAUCUCUUGAGAGAGGCCUUUUGGAACAGUCUCUGGCUGGAAGGCUCUCUGGUGAAGUCAGCUGAGAUGGAGCUGGCCUGGUAUCACUAGAAUCCUUGCUUAGGCAGACCUUGUGGUAAGUGUUAAAAAAAACUGACUGAUUUCUCUCUUAAGACUCAGGUCUAGGCCAUAUUGGCUUGAGGCCCUUCAUACUUAUUCCUUUCUUACUCUCUCUCUCUCUCUUUCUUUGAUUACUCAUUGUAUUGUUAAUUAAAAAUCUCUAUAAAACCCAAUUGACUUGGGUAUUUGAAUAAUUGGGAAUAUUUCCCUGGCGACCACCUUAUAUUUGAUUUUAAAACCCAAGACACUGUAGUGAAACAUAUUUCUGCGGUCAAAAUUUACUCACCCUCUCUUAUAUCUAACACAAUUUAUAUCUUCCACCAUUUUAACUCACUACAGUUUAAGACCUCAACCAUUUUAAAUCUCAUAGGUGAUGGUGGUGGUGAAUGAGCCCAUAGAAUUCUUAGUAAGAGACCUUCAAGGUUAAAGCUGGUCUCUCUAAGCCCAGAACUUCAGUGAUAGGCCAUGCAUGGACUAUAUUGAGAGUUAUAUUGACUGGCACAAUGUCUGAUGUAGGUACCCCUUUCUGAAUCUGUCAGUUCUCCUGUUUGGAUAGUAUUCUCAACCUUAAUUUCUAUGUGUAGGCCAAUAGCUAAGGCUGACUGAGUAGCCAAGUCUGGUUCUUCAUUAUUGACUGGCAAAAGGUCUGAAGGAGGUGCACCUUUCCCACUCUGAAAGCCCAGCUCAUAUUCUUUCUAGGUUCUGAGUCUAUCAGUUCUUCUGUUUGGAUAAUUCUCUUCUCUAUCUUAAUUGCUACAUGUGGGUCAAAAGCUGAGGCACGUUGAGUAGCCAAGUCUGGUUUUUCUUUUCACUGAAAUUCAACUUUGUUUCUCUUUUAAACUGGUCCGAUCAUUCUGGAGAACAAUUUGGAACUAUGCCCAAAAGCCUAUAAAGCAAUGUAUGCCCUUUGCCUCAGCAAUCAUACUACUAGAUCUAUAUACCCAAAAGAUCAAAGUAAAAGGGACUCUCUUUUUGCCUCUAUGGACAAAAAAUUAUAGCUGACUUUUUUGUGGUGGCAAAGACUUGGAAAAUGAAAAGAUGCCCAUCAAUUGGAGAAUGACGGAACAAGUUGUGGUAUAUGAUUGUGAUAGAGUACUAUUGUGCUAUAAGAAAUGAUGAGGGGGGUGGGCUCAGAAAAACCUGGGAAGACCUAUAUGAAUUGAUGCAAAGCAAAGUGAACAGAACCAAGGAAACAUUGUAAUAAUGAUUAACUGGGAGAGACUUAACUACCCUGAUCAAUAUAAUAAUUCAAGAUAAUUCCAAAGGACUCAUGAUGAAAAAUGCUAUUUAUCUCCAGAGAGAGCGAACUGAUAAACUCUGACUGCAGAAUGAAGCCUAUCUUUUCACUUUUUUUGCUGCAUGGCUAAUACAGAAGUAUAUUUUGCAUAACUUCACAUGUGUGAUUGAUAUAUUGCUUGCCUUCUCAAUGGGUGAAGGAAAGGCUGAAAAGAGGGAGAGAAUUUAGACCUCAAAUUAAAAAAAAUGAAUAUUAAUACUAGAAUGUGGGGAAUUCUUUGGACUUCCCUUUGUGGUUCUUAAUGAUCCUACCAUUUAGAAGGUGAUGGCUCUUCUCCCUUUUCCCUCUCUCUAAUAUUUGAAUGGUGGGAGGAAUCACACGCUAUAGAAUCUUAGAGCUGAAUGGGACCUCAAAAGCCCAACCAGAACCAUUAGAAGCCAUCAAUCAAUAAGCGUUAUUCAGCAUCUCCUAAGUAAUUGGAAGAGGUAGCUAGGUAGGGUAAUGGAUAGAGUACUAGUCUUGGAGUCAUCUUCUUGGGUUCAAGUCUGGGCUCAGACCCUUACAAGCUGUGUGACCUGAGAAAGUCACUUGACCCUGUUUGCCUCAGUUUUCUCAUCUGUAAAGUGAGCUGGAGAAGGAAAGGUCAAACUACUUCAGUAUCUUUGCCAAGAAAACUCAAAUGGAACCCUGAACAGUUGGACAUGAUUGAAGACACUGAAACAUGAACAGAAAACUGGAAAGUAAUACCUCCUGGUAAGGAGAUUUCAUUCUCUCUGGGGAGACAACAUAUAUAGAUGUCGUGUAACUGAUUGCCCUAAUCUAUUCCCCAUUAACCUUAAGGGGAUCUGGAGGCAUCUAGGCUCUUUGAAAAUUACUCCAGUUCAGACUGAUGGUGUUCCCUUAACCAGUAACAGUUGAAUUAGCUUUUACAGAGGAAUAUUUACUUCCAAAGGUAUAAUCAUAAAUAUACAGUUUUCCCCCAACAUUUGGGACUUAAUCCCAAUUUCAUUCUCUAGGUAGUGCAGUUACUAUAUAGCACAGUUCCAAAUUCCAAGUUCACAGUCCUUUUGGGCUCAAGUCCCAGGCACCCUGGCUUCUCGAGGUUUCCCUGCCAAGCCAACUAAGUGCAAUAUCCUGCCGGCAUGGCUAGGACUCCCAGGUCCAGGGAGGAUCCUAAAACAGGACAAAUGACACUGAACAGAAACAAAUGCUCCCCAGGACCAUUUCUUGGAUCUGGGGCAAAGGCAGGGAGAAGAUAUUCUCCCUCCCAAUUCAGUUCAUGGCAUUCACACGGUGGGUGAGUUAUUAUCAUUAUGCUCUGGAUGCAGCAAGAGUGUAGAGACAGUCUCAGUCUGGCCUGUUUUGGCUACACAGCCAAUGAAAGGAAGCCACUCCUUCCCACGUGGUAGGAAAAGGCAGAAUGCUGGGGGCCUUUAUGUUGGGAGGUCUGGGCACUGCCCCUCCCCUUAUUAGUCUUCUUACAUAAGCACAUAUGAAAUAGAUGCAAAUUAAGGUUGCAGGGCAAAGACAAUUCCCUCCUCUCAGCAGCAUCCCUGACAAGUGGCCAUCCUUUCCUUGAAGACUUUUUAAGGCAGCUCAUCUUCCUCUGGGUUAGCUCUAAUUGUUAGGAAGGUCUUCCUUACUUCGAAAUUUGCCUCUUUCUAGCCAUUGUUUUUAGUUCUCAAGUAAAACAAAUCUAAUUAUUCCUCCAAGGGACAUCCUUUCAAAUACAUUAAGUCAGCUAGGAUGUUCUUCCUAUCUCUGAAGGCAUCCAUUUUCUGGGUAAAACGUUCCCAGUUGUCUCAAUGACUGUCACAUGAUGAUGACUCUAGUCCCUUCUCCAUCUUAGUUGCCUUCCUCUGAACAGUCUGGAUUAUUAAUGACUGUCCUAAAAUGUGCCAGGAAAUGAAUUCAAUGGGACCCCUAGCUCCUAGCCCUGGACAUUGCCUCUUUUAAUGCAAUCUAAUAAGAGCCAACAUUUAUUCUUUUCUUACAUGUACCUUUCAACAUGUUUUCCAAAAUUGUAAAAUCGAAAUUGUCUCCCCCCCUUCCUGUUCUUGGAGAUGGUAAGCAAGUUUAUUUAGGUUAUACAUGUAAAUCGGUCAUUAUUAUAAGAGAAUGCUCAUAUAGAAUAACAUUUAAGUAGGUGUGUAUAUAAAUUAAUGUAAAAGAUAAUAUGCUUUGAUCUGCAUUCCAGCUCCCACAGUUCUUUCUCUGGAGCCGGAUGGCAUUCUUUGUCAUAAGUCCUUCAGAAUUGUCUCAGGUCAUUGUAUUGAAGAGCUAACAAUGGUGCUGUAAGGUUGGCAAAGAGGUUGAUCAGUAUAACCUCUCAGUUGAUCUGCUUAACAGUUUUCUAGGAGAUACCCUAUUUUACAGAUAAGGAAACUGAGGUACAGAGGUAGGUCAAAUGGCUUGAUCAGGGAUAUAUAACUAGUAAGUGUCUGAAGAUGAAUUUGAACUUGGGUCUUUCUUGCUUCAAGAUCAGUACUCUCUCCACUAUACCACUUAGUUGCCCCCAAGAUUACCUUAGCUUUCCUUGACUACAUGCCUCAUAUUGAUUGGGGAAGUCAUGGAUCCUUAGUGGAGGUCUUUUAUUUUUAAAUUUUAUUCAUUUUUUAUUCUGAAUGUAAGACUCAACAAACAAAAUGAACAUUUCCAUAUAUAUUGUAGGAGAGAAGAUUAUACAUUGAAACUGUGAAUCUCUAAAAUACACAGCUUGCUUUUAAGCAUGUAAUAAAUUCAACACAUAACUCUCAACACUGUUUUCUGCUUAUCUGGUAUUCCUUCUGGCUUUCUUUCUGUUCUCUUCUCAUUUUAAAGGGAGAGAGAGCCCUAUUUCCAACCCACCUUUCCCUCUCUCCUCCCUAUAUACCUCAAUACCCACUGAAAAGAAAGAAAAAAUCCUUAUAACAAACAUGCAUUUGCAUACUUAAGCAAAACCAAUUCUGAGAUGGCUACAUCCUAGAAUAUAUGUUUUAUUUUGCUGCCUGAGUCCAUCCUCUUUCUAUCAGGAGAUGGGUGGUGUGCAUUUUCAUUGGGCCUUGGAAUCUCACUUGGUCAUUACAGUGAUCAGAAUCCUUAAGUCUUUCAAAGAUGUCUGCUGCCUUCACAGUGUUGUUAUUGUUGUUGUUAUAAAAAUUCAACUCCAUCAGUUCAUCCAAGCCUCCCCAAGGUUCUCUGAAAUCAUCUCUUUCAUCGUUUUAAUGGCACAAUAAUAUAUCAUUUUAUUUAUAUACCAUAAUUUGUUCAGCCAUUAGCCAAUUGAUGGGCACUCAGUUUUGAGUUCCUUGCCACUACAAAAGCAGCUAUGAUACAUAUUUUUGUGCCUAGGAGUCCUUAUUCUUUUUCUCAUAUCUCUCUGGGGAUAUAAGCCCAAUAAUAUAACUAGAUCAAACAGUAAACAGAGCUUAGUGACUUUGGAUAUAGUUCCAAGUAGCAUUCCAGAGUGGUUUUAUGAAUGUAAGCUCCAUUCACAGUGCAUUAACGUGCCAACAUUUCCCAUUUUCCUUUUUUGGUCAUCUUUGCCAGUCUGAUGGGUGGCUUAUUAGAGGUCUUCAAGCAAAGGAUAUUUGAUGAUCACUUGUCUGUCUACUAAAUCCUGAGAUCUUUCUUUCUUUCUUUUUUUUAAUAAUAACAGCUUUUAUUUACUUAGAUAGUAUUUUUUUUUAAACCCUUACUUUCCUUUUUGGAGUCAAUAUUGUGUAUUGGCUCCAAGGCAGAAGAGUGGUAAGGGCAAGGCAAUGGGGGUGGAGUGACUUGCCCAGGGUCACACAGCUGGGAAGUGUCUGAGGUCAGAUUUGAACCUAGGACCUGCCAUCUCUAGGGCUGGCUCUCAAUCCACUGAGCUACCCAGCUGCCCCCCUGAGAUCUUUCUUAUGUGAACUGUUUACUCCCAUUCCCAUCUUGGAUCUAUAAAGCUGAUACUUCUCUAUUACAUUUCAUAUUAGUGGAUUCAGUCCAAUAUCAGAGCCCUUCAAGAUCCUUUGGAAUCCAUCUGACUCUUUAAUUCAGGACCCAAUGUAUUCAAUAUUCCUCCUUGCUUUGUGCAAACCAAGAUAAGCAUGGAUGACAUCUGGACCUUUCUCCAAGUUAAUUGAAUGCUUUGUUUUGUCUGAAGAUGUAAUUUCAUUAGUGUAGCAAACUCCUAGGGAGGAACCUUCUUCUACCAAUUCAGAUAGACAAUUACUUUGCUCUUUACACUGUUAAAAAUUGGUCCUGAGGGGGCAGCUGGGUAGCUCAGUGGAUUAAGAGCCAGGCCUAGAGAUGGGAGGUCCUAGCUUCAAAUCUGGCCUCAGACACUUCCCAGCUGUGUGACCCUGGGCAAGUCACUUGACCCCCAUUGUCUAGCCCUUACCACUCUUCUGCCUUGGAUCAAUACACAGUAUUUUUUUUUAAUUGGUCCUGAGGGCAAAAAGGAUAAAUGACUUGCUCAGGGGCAUACAGCUAGAGUGACUUUUAACCCUGGUUUUCCAAACUCCAAGGCUGUAUUCCAUUUAAUUCAUUAGUAAAAAUGUUAAAUAGUCCAAGCCAUUUCCCCCCUAAGUUAUACAUAGCAAUGGAUAGAACUAGUUACUGGUGAAAAUGUAAUGGGGGCUGGUGACCAAGUGUAAUCUGUUAAGCUAAUGUGAUCCCCACACCUAGACAAGACUGAAGUUGUUUCGGGGGAAAAACUUGAUCACAUGUAAUAGAAGCUCCUUGAGGCAGCUAGGUGGUACAGCAGAUAAAGAGCUGGCUUGUAGUCAAGAAGACCUGAGUUCAAAUUCAGCUUCAGACACUUACUCCUAUGUGCCUAUGGACAAGUCACAUAACCUCUAUUUGCCCCAGUUUCCUCAACUGUAAAAUGAUAAUUAUUAUAAUAGCUCCCAGGGUUGUUGUGAGGCUCAAAUGAGAUAUCUAUAAAGAGCUUAGCAUAAUGCCUGACACAUAAUAGGCACUAUAUAAAUGCUUAUUCCCUUCUCCCAUCCCUAAUUUGGAGCCUGUGCAAAUGUUCUGUAAUUAGUCCUGGCCUGCUAACCAUAUGAGAGAAAGACAGAGUUUGAUUGAUAGAGCCUAAAGGGCAUUCAAAAGACAUUAAUAGCAAGGAAGUCCUCCUUCCUACCUGGCUUUGUUCAAGUGAGGAGAGAGUGUUCAGGCGGAGAGAGGAGGUGAAGACUAAGCAUUGAAUGGGAAGAAAGGCUUCAGGCUUUUAUCCCCUCACCAAUGCCGUGUGGCCUCUGAACAGAUGACCCUGCUAUUGCUUCUAUCCCUGCUGUGUCUAUUCUUUCCUCUUUUCAGGUGAGAGGAUAUUAGAGAUGACUGUGAUAUUGUGAGUUUCAAAAGAUCAGAAGCAUGAACCACCGGAAAGAAGUCUAUAAGCUGGAGUCCAUGCUGGAAUCUGCCAGAAGCCAAAUGAUGAAGAAGGAAGGGCCUUGCUUGACCCAGCCCAGCAGGAACAAAGGCGUGGAUUCAUCAGUCCAUCAUUUGGGAAGUAAAUUUGGUGGGGCAAAUACCAUGUAAAAUUGGGUUAAGCCUGAGCCCACUCUUCCCCGGGGACUCAUAAAGUGUGUGGGGGAAAUAUUUAUCAUUUAGGUUCUUGCUAUAUCUUCCCAGGAAAUAUCCCUUUCUAAAAGCUACUUGAUGUUAAUUAGUUAGAUGGAACUGGGGCACUGAUUGCUGACAGUAAACAGAGGGAAAAAUAUGUUAGAAUGAGAGCUUGAGCAUGCAGCAUUGGAGGAAGAUACACACCAGCUCCUCAAAGGUGUCUCUAGAAGUCAGGAGACAGAGGUAGCCCAUUCUGCAAGAGUGAAAAGCAAAAAAUGAGUCAAGGAAGAGAAUGCUGGUCCUUAGAGAAAGGAAGUACACUCUAGAAGUUUUACAAAAGGGAAAGAGAGCACUGAAACCCCCCAAGAGAGUAUUCCUUGCCUUUUCUUAGAAAUGGGUUUUCAGAGGUAAUGAAAGCCAUGAAGAAUGACUAGAAGGGAUGGAGGGGGAAAAUAUACCAUCUAGUCCUUUUCUUUAGCAAGCAGAGAGAAGCUGGGGAAAAUGGGGUGGAUGAGGGUCCUCUGCCCUCCUGAGGACUAUAUGUGACUGGGGCCUGGCACAUUUCCUUGGAGCUGCUCUCAAGUGGCUGCCUUCCAUUCAUCAAAAUGCAGGGUGAGUCAGAGACCUCCUCCAGGCCUUGCUUUGAUCAAGAAUCCCCAAGAGUGAAGAAAAAACAACUGCUAGAAUACAUGGGUCAAGGGGGAUAUGGCUGGGGAUGCAGACUCUAAAUGAACGUCCUAAUGCAAACACCAACAACAUGGAAAUAGCUUCUGAUCAAGGACACAAGUAAUAUCCGAUGGAAUUGUGUGUCAGCUAUGGGAAGAGGAGUUGCUUCCUUAGAUGAUGGCUGUGGAAGCUGGAUUUGAAGGACUGAAUGAGAAUGGGAAUAACAGAGGGGGAAAUGUGGUGGAAAACUCAAUGCUAUGAACUUCUCACUGACCUGGACCAGGAAGAAGAGGACAUUAACAAUCUGCCUAGAAAAUAAGCCUUGUACAAUCUGAGAAUAAUCAGGAGUUUGCUGAAACAGAGAAUGGCCUGGACUUGAAUACUGUGGGAAGCAUCAUGGGGGAAGUGGCUCUUAAGCAAUGGCUUUGAAAGAAUCAACAAGCAUUCAUUAAGAGUGACUAUGCCAGAGCGAUCUUUUAAAGCCUAAAUCCCGAAUCACAUACCCACAUAUACACGGGAUAAGUGAGGUCAUGUUUGAGCAGGCUGAUUUGAGAAAACCAUGGAAAGACUGGCAUGAAAUAAUGCUGAGUGAAAUAAGGAGAAUCAAGAGAACGCUGAAUAGUCACAGCAAUA